CGGGGAGGAGGCUGGGGCCAAGGGGUUCUCAGGGCAGGUGAUGCGGAGCCCACCCUGGGGCGGCUGCAUCCAGUGGGGUUCCCAAACACAAGGGCACCGCACUGAGGUCUGGUGUGUGGGCGUGAGGCUUCUGUAAGGGGGCGGUGGGGCAGGGUGGGCUGAGCGCUGUGCUCCAAGGGGGGAGAAUCUGCCGCUGCCCUGCUGAGCUGCUGAGCUGCCUCUUCCCCUCUGCAGGGCAAAACCUGGGCUUCCUCCUGGAAAUCCCGCAGGAUGCAGUCACUGGCACCGUGGGGCAGUCCGUGCUCCUGCCCGUCUCCUACAGAUGCAACAGCACCUCUUGCUUCCCACUGUCAAUUAGGUGGAUGUUUGGUCACACCUCACAAGUAAUCAUCGCCUGCACAGUGCAGAACUGCUCCCUGGAUGAUGGGGGGGCUCCCAAGAACUGCUCCACAAUCUGUUUCCUCCAUCCUGCACAUUGGGGCCGUACUGAGCUCUUCCCCGAGAACGCAUCCCUGCUGCUGCGGGACCUGUGGCUCAGUGACAGCGGGGUGUACACCGUCAGCCUCCAGCACCAAAGACAAAUCAGGAACAUCACCCUGGCCGUGCUCCAGCAGCCUGUCACCCCAGACCAUUCCAGUGAAGGGAGAAACCUGGGCUUCCUCCUGGAAAUCCCGCAGGAUGCAGUCACUGGCACCGUGGGGCAGUCCGUGCUCCUGCCCGUCUCCUACAGAUGCAACAGCACCCCUUGCUUCCCAGUGGCAAUUCAGUGGCUGUUUAGUCAGCCCUUAGAAACAAUCAUCGCCUGCACAGUGCAGAACUGCUCCCUGGGUGAUGGGGGGGCUCCCAAGAACUGCUCCACAAACUGUUACCCCUAUCCUACACAUUGGGGCCGUGUUGAGCUCUUCCCCGAGAACGCAUCCCUGCUGCUGCGGGACCUGCGGAUCAGUGACAGCGGGGUGUACACCGUCAGCUUCCUACAGCACCAAAGACAAAGCAGGCACAUCACCCUGACCGUGCUUGAGCAACCUGUCACCCCAGACCACUCCAGCAACAGUAAGUGUCCCUGUGCUGCCCUGGCAG
rnacentral:lncRNA from 1 species